GUGGGGAAUCUUGGGCAAUGGGGGAAACCCUGACCCAGCGACGCCGCGUGAGGGAAGAAGGUCUUCGGAUUGUAAACCUUUGUGACAGGGGACGAAGGAAGUGACGGUACCCUGUGAGGAAGCCCCGGCUAACUACGUGCCAGCAGCCGCGGUAAUACGUAGGGGGCGAGCGUUGUCCGGAAUUACUGGGCGUAAAGGGCGCGUAGGCGGUUGAAUAAGUCUGUUGUGAAAUUCCAAGGCUUAACUUUGGCAGUGCAAUGGAAACUGUUCGACUUGAGUACGGCAGAGGCAAGUGGAAUUCCCAGUGUAGCGGUGAAAUGCACAGAGAUUGGGAGGAACACCAGUGGCGAAGGCGACUUGCUGGGCCGAAACUGACGCUGAGGCGCGAAAGCGUGGGGAGCAAACAGGAUUAGAUACCCUAGUAGUCC
rnacentral:rRNA from 1 species